rnacentral:rRNA from 1 species
AAUCAACGCUGGCGGCGUGCCUCAGACAUGCAAGUCGAACGAUUAAGACUUCCUUCGGGAAGUGCAUAAAGUGGCGCACGGGUGAGUAACACGUAAGUAAUCUACCCCCGAGUGGGGAAUAACAUCGGGAAACCGAUGCUAAUACCGCAUAAUGCAGCGGCACCGCAAGGUGACAGUUGUCAAAGGAGCAAUUCGCUUGGGGAGGAGCUUGCGGCAGAUUAGCUUGUUGGUAAGGUAACGGCUUACCAAGGCUACGAUCUGUAUCCGGUCUAAGAGGACGGUCGGACACACUGACACUGAAUAACGGGUCAGACUCCUACGGGAGGCAGCAGUCGGGAAUUUUGGGCAAUGGGCGAAAGCCUGACCCAGCAACGCCGCGUGAAGGAUGAAGUAUUUCGGUAUGUAAACUUCGAAAGAAUGGGAAGAAUAAAUGACGGUACCAUUUAUAAGCUCCGGCUAACUACGUGCCAGCCGCCGCCGUAACAC